rnacentral:rRNA from 1 species
GGGCCCGCACAAGUGGUGGAGCAUGUGGUUUAAUUCGAUGCAACGCGAAGAACCUUACCAACCCUUGAAAUCUAGCGAAGUUCACAGAGAUGAGAAUGUGCCUUCGGGAACGCUAUGACAGGUGUUGCAUGGCUGUCGUCAGCUCGUGUCGUGAGAUGUAUGGUUAAGUCCAGUAACGAGCGCAACCCCUAUCCUUAUUUGCCAGCGCGUUAAGGCGGGAACUAUAGGGAGACUGCCGGGUGAAACCCGGAGGAAGGCGGGGACGAGGUCAAGUCAUCAUGGCCCUUAUGGGUUGGGCUACACACGUGCUACAAUGGGAAGUACAGAGGGAUGCGAAAGCGCGAGCUGGAGCCAAACCCUUAAAAAGCCUAAUCUCAGUUCGGAUUGAGGUCUGCAACUCGACCUCAUGAAGUUGGAUUC